rnacentral:rRNA from 1 species
AACGAACGCUGGCGGCAUGCCUAACACAUGCAAGUCGAACGAGACCUUCGGGUCUAGUGGCGCACGGGUGCGUAACGCGUGGGGACCGUGCCUUUAGGUUCGGAAUAACUCAGAGAAAUUUGAGCUAAUACCGGAUAAUGUCUUCGGACCAAAGAUUUAUCGCCUUUAGAUGGGCCCGCGUAAGAUUAGCUAGUUGGUGGGGUAAAGGCCUACCAAGGCGACGAUCUUUAGCUGGUCUGAGAGGAUGAUCAGCCACACUGGGACUGAGACACGGCCCAGACUCCUACGGGAGGCAGCAGUGGGGAAUAUUGGACAAUGGGCGAAAGCCUGAUCCAGCAAUGCCGCGUGAGUGAUGAAGGGCCUUAGGGGUUGUAAAGCUCUUUUACCCGAGAUGAUAAUGACAGUAUCGGGAGAAUAAGCUCCGGCCAACUCCGUGCCAGCAGCCGCGGUAAU